UGCGCCCGUAGCUCAAUGGAUAGAGCAUCUGACUACGGAUCAGAAGGUUGGGGGUUCGAGUCCCUUCGGGCGCGCCCU
rnacentral:tRNA from 1 species